GAGUGUGGAGCGUGAGUGAGAGCGUGAGUGUGUGAGCCGUGUGUAGCUUAGUGGGUUAGUAGUAAUUAAUAAUUAGUUUAACUAGUUAGUUUAACUAAUAGCCUAUGUCAAGUGGAGCCUCGGCUAAGUUAAUUUAAUUAAGUAGCAUAGUUUAGUUGCUGCCUAUGAUAUGUGGGCCACACCCAUCCCAUUUGACUAGUAAGUUGACAUGGUCAAACUCGUUUUAAAUGAUUUUAGAAAAUCAAAUAAGCUUCGGAAAAUCAUAUCUAAAUCAUACAAACUUGAACAAAAAUAAUUUAUAUAUAAAAGAUGAUCAGAAAAAUAUAACGAAUCUGAAUAUGCCAUCUAUAUACCUGCCACACCUCUCUAACAUGAUGCACAUGAACAUUUUGCAUUAGGAUCGUCUAUCCGAAAAUUACCUGGAGCCGGGAAUAUAUUGCGGGAUAUUUUGCCUCUUAUUUUAAAAUGCUUAAGGAUGCAUUAGAGCAUGUCACCUACACAUCUUGUUGUGCCAUUGCAUUUGUGUUGCAUUUAAUUGCUGUGUUAUUUAUUGUGUUUCCCCUCCAUUACUUUCUUUCCGGUAGACCCCGAGACCGAUGAUGAUCCGGUGAUCGAAUACUUCCUGGUCGAGGAUCCGUAUCUGUGUGCACAGCAGCAAGGCAAGCAAACCCCCCUUGAUCAUUCCUAUAUCGCCUAUGUCUUUCUUCCUACUGCUUGCAUUAGUAUUUUUCUACUGUUGUAGUUAGCUCCUAUAUCUGAUGCAUAUAUAGCCUAUUUUUGAUGAACAACUACUUUCAGUCCUGUACCUUUAAUAUGCUUAGUAUAGGUGGAGCAGUCAUCCCAUCUGACCCCGUAGUCUAGUUGCCUCGCUUGUUUUCAAAUCUCGAUCCCUGAUCGACGAAACACCUCACACACACACCCCUUAGUUGUACGACGCUACGGGGAUACUAUCGGGUACCGAGGGUGACACCUCGUUAAGUACUCAUGAUGAUAUCUCUGUAGUAUAGCUAGUCGGUCGUGGUUAUUGAGGGUGAUUCCUCUUUCAUCAUUCCCGACGAUGCCUCUCUCGUACAACCCCUCAAGUGUCAGAUGUCAGCAAUGUAGCGGCGCGCGCCCAAGUGGUCCCGAGAUGCAUCGCGCUUGUGAUUAAGGGAUGCUAGGAAUGACGUCGGCCGCCCACGCCACGUGCAGGAGCGCGAAGGGGAACUGGGCCCACGAACCCUUUGUGCUUAGGAGUUAGACCUGCGGGCUGGCCUCUCUGAUUAAUCAUAGGUGGGGCUGCGACGUGUCGAUAUUCCGAGGCCAGGCAGGACCCAGAAAAGUGUGUCCGGCCAGAGUGUUAUCGAGCGUGACGGGACAUGUGGUGCACCCCUGUAGGGAUGAAAAUUAACUAUUCUAAUAGCCGUGUCAACGGUUACAGGACGACUUGGAGUUGUGCCCUGAUCUUAUACAACUACAAUUGUUACUUAACUGGAAUUAGUUCGCCUCGGGAUUGCUUCCUCGCAGGGAGUCGAGGGAGGAUCUUUGGGCGUGACCUCACUUUAAUAUUGCUGCAACAAUUUGACUAUUAAUGUUUUACACCUGUUCUAUUCUCGUCUUUUGCUGCAAGACCCUGAAGAUGCUAGUCUUCGAUAGGACUAGGCCUUCUCUCUAUUCUUGCAUUGCUGCAGCCAGUCCACAUAUAAAACCCCUUCUUUGAUACUGGUGCAUAUUUAGCAUAGUUCUGAUGUAAGUCUUGUGAGUACUUUGGAUGAUUACUCACCGCUGCUUUGCUCCCCCUUUGUCCCCUUGAUCCGUUGUUGCGACCAGAUGAUGGAGCCCAGGAGAUGGAGUUUCCUGCCGACGCCUGUCGCCCCGUUGGUGUCUUCUUCGUGGAGGUUGAUGAAGAUAGGUGUAGUUAGGAGGUUCCCAGGCAGGAGGCCUCGCCUCGUUCAAUCGUCUUUCUUUUGUGCUAGCCUUCUCUAAGGCACCCCCAUGCUUUAUGUCUGUACUCAGAUAUUGUUGCUUUCGCUGACUCGUGUGCUUAUCGAGCUUCUGUAUUCUAGCCCUCGAGGCCCUUGGCUUGUAAUAUGAAGCUUGUAUUAUUUUAUUUGUGUCUAGAGUUGUGUUGUGAUAUCUUCCCGUGAGUCCUUGGGUUUGAUCGUACGCAUUUGCGUGUAUGAUUAGCGUACGAUUAAACCGAGGGCGUCACAAUGCAAGAAAGGAAUAAUAUUAGCUCAAGCUUCAAGCUAGAAGACUCUUCAUUUUAUAUUUAUGAGAACUCAGUUUUGAGACCAUAGUAAAGCCAAUACUAUAAAAAG
rnacentral:lncRNA from 1 species